ACGGGUGAGUAAUACAUAGAUAACUUUCCUUAGUGAUGGGGAUAACCUUCCGAAAGGAGGGCUAAUACCGAAUGAGACCACAGUGACGAAAGUCACAGGGGUUAAAGGUGGCCUCUACUUGUAAGCUAUCGCACUAAGAUAGGUCUAUGCACCAUCAGCUAGUUGGUAGGGUAACGGCCUACCAAGGCUUUGACGGUUAGCUGAUCUGAGAGGUUGAUCAGCCACACUGGAACUGAGACACGGUCCAGACUCCUACGGGAGGCAGCAGUAGGGAAUAUUGCGCAAUGGAGGAAACUCUGACGCAGCGACGCCGCGUGGGUGACGAAGGUCUUCGGAUCGUAAAGCCCUGUCGGAAGGGACGAAAGACGAUAUGGCUAACAUCCAUAUCGAGUGACGGUACCUUUAAAGGAAGCACCGGCUAACUACGUGCCAGCAGCCGCGGUAAUACGUAGGGUGCAAGCGUUGUUCGGAAUCAUUGGGCGUAAAGCGAGUGUAGGCGGUUAAUUAAGUCGGGUGUGAAAUCCCUGGGCUCAACCUAGGAAGUGCAUUCGAAACUGAUUAGCUAGAAGACGGUAGAGGAAGGU
rnacentral:rRNA from 1 species